AUUGAACGCUGGCGGCAGGCCUAACACAUGCAAGUCGAACGAGUGGCGGACGGGUGAGUAAUGUCUGGGAAACUGCGCGAUGGAGGGGGAUAACUACUGGAAACGGUAGCUAAUACCGCAUACCAUCGGAUGUGCCCAGAUGGGAUUAGCUAGUAGGUGGGGUAAAGGCUCACCUAGGCGACGAUCCCUACCUGGUCUGAGAGGAUGACCAGCCACACUGGAACUGAGACACGGUCCAGACUCCUACGGGAGGCAGCAGUGGGGAAUAUUGCACAAUGGGCGCAAGCCUGAUGCAGCCAUGCCGCGUGUGUGAAGAAGGCCUUCGGGUUGUAAAGCACUUUCAGCGGGGAGGCGUUACUCGCAGAAGAAGCACCGGCUAACUCCGUGCCAGCAGCCGCGGUAAUUC
rnacentral:rRNA from 1 species